rnacentral:rRNA from 1 species
GAUGAACGCUGGCGGCGUGCCUAAUACAUGCAAGUCGAGCGAACGGACGAGAAGCUUGCUUUUCUGAUGUUAGCGGCGGACGGGUGAGUAACACGUGGAUAACCUACCUAUAAGACUGGGAUAACUUCGGGAAACCGGAGCUAAUACCGGAUAAUAUUUUGAACCGCAUGGUUCAAAAGUGAAAGACGGUCUUGCUGUCACUUAUAGAUGGAUCCGCGCUGCAUUAGCUAGUUGGUAAGGUAACGGCUUACCAAGGCAACGAUGCAUAGCCGACCUGAGAGGGUGAUCGGCCACACUGGAACUGAGACACGGUCCAGACUCCUACGCGAGGCAGCAGUAGGGAAUCUUCCGCAAUGGGCGAAAGCCUGACGGAGCAACGCCGCGUGAGUGAUGAAGGUCUUCGGAUCGUAAAACUCUGUUAUUAGGGAAGAACAUAUGUGUAAGUAACUGUGCACAUCUUGACGGUACCUAAUCAGAAAGCCACGGCUAACUACGUG